AUUGAACGCUGGCGGCAGGCUUAACACAUGCAAGUCGAGCGGGGGAAGGUAGCUUGCUACCGGACCUAGCGGCGGACGGGUGAGUAAUGCUUAGGAAUCUGCCUAUUAGUGGGGGACAACAUCUCGAAAGGGAUGCUAAUACCACAUACGUCCUACGGGAGAAAGCAGGGGAUCUUCGGACCUUGCGCUAAUAGAUGAGCCUAAGUCAGAUUAGCUGGUUGGUGGGGUAAAGGCCUACCAAGGCGACGAUCUGUAGCGGGUCUGAGAGGAUGAUCCGCCACACUGGGACUGAGACACGGCCCAGACUCCUACGGGAGGCAGCAGUGGGGAAUAUUGGACAAUGGGGGGAACCCUGAUCCAGCCAUGCCGCGUGUGUGAAGAAGGCCUUAUGGUUGUAAAGCACUUUAAGCGAGGAGGAGGCUACUUUAGUUAAUACCUAGAGAUAGUGGACGUUACUCGCAGAAUAAGCACCGGCUAACUCUGUGCCAGCCGCCGCGGUAA
rnacentral:rRNA from 1 species